AGUGAACGCUGGCGGUAGGCCUAACACAUGCAAGUCGAACGGCAGCACAGUAAGAGCUUGCUCUUACGGGUGGCGAGUGGCGGACGGGUGAGGAAUACAUCGGAAUCUACUUUUUCUCGGGGGAUAACGUAGGGAAACUUACGCUAAUACCGCAUACGACCUACGGGUGAAAUCAGGGGAUCUUCGGACCUUUCGCGAUUGAAUGAGCCGAUGUCGGAUUAGCUAGUUGGCGGGGUAUAGGCCCACCAAGGCGACGAUCCGUAGCUGGUCUGAGAGGAUGAUCAGCCACACUGGAACUAAGACACGGUCCAGACUCCUACGGGAGGCAGCAGUGGGGAAUAUUGGACAAUGGGCGCAAGCCUGAUCCAGCCAUACCGCGUGGGUGAAGAAGGCCUUCGGGUUGUAAAGCCCUUUUGUUGGGAAAGAAAAGCAGCAGGUUAAUACCCCGCUGUUCUGACGGUACCCAAAGAAUAAGCACCGGCUAACUUCGUG
rnacentral:rRNA from 1 species